CUUCAUCUCCACUGCAUCUUGAUCUGCACUUGCUGCAGUUCUAAAGAAGUGAAACUAGUGAAGUGAAAGUGAACGUACGUAUAUAAAGCAGAAAUAAGGUUCACAUUUCGCAGUAUAAUUUCGUGUACUAAUAAUAUGCUACAUUUUACUAAUCUUUGUGCUGUGGUUUCUCUGAUACCAAUUAAAAAAUUGAUCUCACAGUGGAACGUCAGGAUUUUCUCAACGAAAUAUUCGGUCUACUAGAAAUGCAACCACCAACUCAAUUUCCACCAACUUCUAGCCCGUCAGCUCCAAUAUCCAUUUUAAAGAAUUCAACCAUAGAAAAUUUCAAGAAAACAAUGGAGGAUACGUACAAUCAAUUCUCAACCCAGUACCAGUCCGGGUUCAUUUUAUUCGAAAAAGUAUGGAAACGGAUAGAGAAAAAUUUGAAAAAAAAGAAAUGGAAAAAAUUGAAAAUUUAUCCUUACGCAUUACUUUUAUUUUAUUAAUUAGGAGUAAUAAUUUUGCAAAUAGGUUUCAAUGGUUAAAAUAAUAUUUAACUGGUUAUUAUAAAUAUGAAUGCAAUUUUGUAUAAAAUUAAUUCAAAAAUAAACAGGUAUUAUAAUUUU